AACGAACGCUGGCGGCGGGCCUAAUACAUGCAAGUCGAACGAGAAAGUUCCUUCGGGAACAAGUAGAGUGGCGCACGGGUGAGUAACACGUAGGUGACCUACCUUUUAGUGGAGGAUAACCUUAGGAAACUGAGGCUAAUACUGCAUAAGCUGAACAAAACUAGAAGUAGUUCAGGAAAGAUUUAUCGCUAAAAGAAGGGCUUGCGGACCAUUAACUUGAUGGUGGGGUAAUGGCCUACCAUGGUUUCGAUGGUUAGCUGGUCUGAGAGGAUGAUCAGCCACACUGGAACUGAGACACGGUCCAGACUCCUACGGGAGGCAGCAGUAGGGAAUAUUGCGCAAUGGAGGAAACUCUGACGCAGCCACGCCGCGUGAGUGAGGAAGGCCUUCGGGUUGUAAAGCUCUGUCAGUAGGGAAUAAAGGCCCAUAUGGGAGAUGAAGGUACCUACAGAGGAAGCACCGGCUAACUUCG
rnacentral:rRNA from 1 species